ACUGCUACCCUGGCUUCCUAACUGGAAGGACUCUCUCCCUCCUCUGAAUCUCACUGACAGUUCCAGAGGGCUACCGGGCACACAUCUCUGCUAGCCUGACAGGGACCACACCUUGAGGCAUGCAGGAUCCCAGUUCCUUGACCAAGGAUUGAACCUGUGCCCCCUGCAAUGGAAGCACCGAGCCUCAACCACUGAACCGCCAAGAAAGUCCCUAGUGAUUCACAAUUUUCAAAGAUUAUAUACAAUUUUAAAGAUUGAUGGAGAGCUUAGAAACCCAAUACCACAUGUAGCAUUGCUUCUGUGGGAAAUGUGUUCUUUAUCCUGAAACACUGAUCUUCCACUGAGCCUCCAGCCACUUCUAAAGUGCAUCUUUGAGCAAACAAGAAGUAUGUCUGCCUGUAGG
ensembl:lncRNA